rnacentral:SRP_RNA from 1 species
GCCGGGCGCUGUGGCGGGCGCCUGUGGUCCCAGCUACUUGGGAGGCGGAGGCAGAAGACUCGCUUGAGCCCAGGAGUUGGAGGUUGCUGUGAGCUAUAAUGCCACGGCACUCUACCCAGGGCGACAAAGUGAGACUCCGCCAA